rnacentral:tRNA from 1 species
GACGAGGUGGCCGAGUGGUUCAGGCAUUGGAAUGCUAAUCCAAUGUGCUCUGCACGCGUGGGUUCGAAUCCCAUCCUCGUCG